UGCCAGUCUUAAGUACUGGAUUGUAAACUAAGUCAUCACUUGUGCAACCACCACUCAGAUUGAGCUAUGGGACAGCUGAGCAUUCCAGAAGUUUUCCUCAUGCCCCUUUCCAAUCUAUCACCCCAGCUCCAAGGUCAUGAAAAGUGGAGAGAAGCAUCUUGAAAAAGCUAUUCAACAUUACACUCAUUAGAUGGCUAUUAUUAAAAAAAAUAAAGCAACAGAAAAUUACAAGUGCAAUGGUUAAUUUUCUAUGUCAACUUGACAGGGCCAUGAGGUCCCCAGACGCAAUCAUGAUUCUGGGUGUGUCUGAGGUGUUUCUGGAUGUGAUUAACAUUUGGAUCAGUAGAGUGAGUAAAGCAGAUUGCCCUUCAUAAUGUGGCUGGAUCUCAUCCCAUCAACUGAAGAUCUGAAGAGAACCAGAAGCUGAUAAGAGAGAACUUCUCCUGCUGGACUGCCUGGAGCUGGGACAUUGAUCUUUUCUUGCCUUUGGACUUGAAUUGAAAUAUCAGCUCUUCUUGGAUCUUAAUCCUCCUGGCUUUUGGACUGGAACUUAAAAACAAAAUGGGGCACCAGCAAAUAUGUUUUUCUUUUAGGUCCUGAAAAGUGGAGAGGAGCAUCUUUAAAAACUAGUCAACAUCACACCCAUUGGAUGGCUAUUAUUAAAAAAAAAAAAGCAAUAGAAAAUUACGAGUGUGAUGGUUAAUUUUCUGCAUCAAUGUGCCUUGGCCAUGAGGUCCCCAGAUGUUUGGGCAAACAUUAUUCUGGGUGUGUCUGAAUAAUGACUUCUAUUGUUGUAUUUAUUAUUAUAAUGGCUUUUAUUAUAUGUCCUGCUGGCUUUUAGACUGGAACUUACAAAAUAUGGCACAUUGCCUUUCCUGGGUUUCCAGCUUGCUGACUAUAAAUCUUGGGACUUUUCAGCAUCCAUAACCAUGUAAGCCAAUUCCCUAUAAUAAAUCUUUUUCUCUGUCUUUAUGUAUGUAUGUAUGUAUGUAUGUAUGUAUGUAUGUAUGUAUCUAUCUACAUAUAUAUGCAUACAGAAAGAUAAUGUGUAUAUAUAUAUAUACUCUUUAUAUGUAUAUUGUCUCUAUACACAUGCAGACACACACACACACACACUCUCUCUCUCUCUCUCUCUUUCUCUAUAUUAAUCAGAGCCCUAACUAAUACAGAUGCAUUGCUGGGUGUGAAUGUAAAAUGGUGUAGCAGCAGCUAUGGUUCCUCAAAAAGUUAGAGAAUUACCGUAUGAUCUAGCAAUUCCACUUCUGGGUAUAUUUAAAUCCACAAAAAAUUAAAAGCAGGGACUUGAACAAAUAUUUGUACAUCCACAUUAUAGCAGCACUACUCAUGGUAGUCAAAAGGUGGGAACAACCCAAAUGUCCAUUGAUGGAUGAAUGGAUAAAUGAAAUAUGGCAUAUAUAAUAGAAUACUACACAUUCAUAAAAAGAAAGGAAAUUCUGACACAUACUACAACAUGGAUGAACCUUGAGGACAUUAUGCUAAGUGAAAUGAACCAGUCACGAAAGACAAAUACUGCCUGAUUCCACCCACAUUAGGUAUCUAAAGUAGUCAAACUCAGAGAAACAGAAGGUAGAAUGCAGUUACCAGGGGCUGGAAAAAGGGGAAUGGGAAAUUAUUGUUUAAUGGGUACAGUUUCAAUUCUGCAAGCUAAAAACUUCUAGAGAUGGAUGGUGGUAAUAGUUACACAAUAUCGUGAAUGUAUUUAAUGCCGCUGAACUGUACCUUAAAAUAGUUAAAAUGUUAUAUAUGUUAUGUAUAUUUUACCAAAAUAAAAUAAAAACCCAUCCU
rnacentral:lncRNA from 1 species